UGGGGAAUAUUGCACAAUGGGCGAAAGCCUGAUGCAGCGACGCCGCGUGAGGGACGACGGCCUUCGGGUUAUAAACCUCUUUCAGCAGGGACGAAGCGAAAGUGACUGUACCUGCAGAAGAAGCACCGGCUAACUACGUGCCAGCAGCCGCGGUAAUACGUAGGGUGCAAGCGUUGUCCGGAUUUAUUGGGCGUAAAGAGCUCGUAGGCGGUUUGUCGCGUCGGAUGUGAAAACCUAUGGCUUAACCAUGGGCCUGCAUUGGAUACGGGCAAACUAGAGUUCGGUAGGGGAGACUGGAACUCCUGGUGUAGCGGUGAAAUGCGCAGAUAUCAGGAAGAACACCGGUGGCGAAGGCGGGUCUCUGGGCCGAUACUGACGCUGAGGAGCGAAAGCGUGGGGAGCAAACA
rnacentral:rRNA from 1 species